AUACCCCUGCCGUGUUCGUGAUUUGGAAUGACGGCGCUUUGAUCCAACAUUAAAAAAUAAGGGAGCUCUUCUUGAGUUCUGGUGUGCAUGUCCUACAACUUGAUAGGAAAGCCUAAAGGAGCCACAGGGCACCCACCUUACACCUUUGGUUUCAAGGUGGUCCUACCAACACGGCACAAUGGUGGGGGUAUA
rnacentral:other from 1 species